rnacentral:rRNA from 1 species
GAUGAACGCUGGCGGCGUGCUUAACACAUGCAAGUCGAACGGUGAACGAGGGAGCUUGCUCCCUCCGGAUCAGUGGCGAACGGGUGAGUAACACGUGAGCAAUCUGCCCUGGACUCUGGGAUAAGCGUUGGAAACGACGUCUAAUACCGGAUACGAGACGCGAAGGCAUCUUCAGCGUCUGGAAAGAACUUCGGUCCAGGAUGAGCUCGCGGCCUAUCAGGUAGUUGGUGAGGUAAAGUCGCACCAAGCCUACGACGGGGAGCCGGCCUGAGAGAGUGACCGGCCACACUAGGACUGAGACACGGCCCAGACUCCUACUGGAGGCAGCAGUGGGGAAUAUUGCACAAUGGGCGCAAGCCUGAUGCAGCAACGCCGCGUGAGGGACGACGGCCUUCGGGUUGUAAACCUCUUUUAGCAGGGAAGAAGCGAAAGUGACGGUACCUGCAGAAAAAGCACCGGCUAACUACGUGCCAGCCGCCGCAGUAAUAC